rnacentral:lncRNA from 1 species
CAGCAUGCCCCGCGGGAGAGCCUGGACGCAGGCGGAGGUCAGCAGCCUCCUGGCGCUGGUGGGAGGCUCAGGGGAGGCCGCCCUGCUCAUGGCCUCCACGUCGCGACCCAACGAGGCGCUGUGGCGGGAGAUCUCCCAGGGGCUGGCAGCGGCCGGCUACGGGCGCAGCGUGGCCCAGUGCCGCUCCAAGUGGAAGGCGCUCAAGCAGGCUUUCCACUCGGAGCGGGAGACGCGCCGGAGAGCAGGACACCACUCUCCCCGCCUGCCCCCGCACUACCGAGCCAUGAAGAGCAUCUGGAAGGCGGCCGGGCGGCCCGUCUUUGGCGAGCGGAGGAUGCCAGACCUGGUGAAGCUGCCCCCUAGGAGACGCAGGUCAGCCCUUGCCACCCGCACUCCAUCCUCACCAGAGCCACCAGGUACCCAUGGGCUCAGGCAGGUAGAGCAGGGCUUGUCCUGGCUGUGGGAUGGCAGGCACCCAGUUACUGAAGCUCUUAUCUGCACCCCCCCACCCUCUUUCUGCAGACCAUGAUGCUGGUGAGGAUGCCCUGGGCACAGUGCUGUCCCCGCUGCUGCAGUGUGCGAAGGAUGAGCCAGAGAGCCGUAAGUACCGGUCUGCCCCGCUGCACCGGGCUGCAUGGCCACGGCUCCAGCCCAAGCCCAUGCCAGCAUGAGGGGAACGGGGAGCUUAGAGGGUCGGGGGGCCCAUCACGAGUGCCUCAGCAGGGAUGCUCACCAAUGGGGGUGUUGGGACUUCUCUCUCCAGAGGCUUUGGCUCCAAACCAGCCCCAGAGCAUGAAGGGAUGGGAAUGGCUGGGACGGGUCAGGAGGGGUUCCCCAGCUCUGACCCACUCUGAGGGCAUGGUGAAGCUGCUGGCUGCCCCAUGGCAGGUUGCGAGGCUCAAGGUCUCAAAGGGACAGUGGCCCUGAUCUGGCCCAGGGGUCUCUCAUGGCUGUGCAGCACUGCAGGGCAUGUGACUCCCCUUCCUUCAGCAGGUCCUGGUCCCCCCUUCCCCAGUAACCCCAUAAGGCUUUGGAUGAGUUAGGACUGGGUGUGAGGGCCAGAGGUGCCUGCAGCUCCCCUGCCCCACAGCCCACCCAGGGGCAGAUCCUGUGCCCCCCUCACUGUGCUCACUCCCCG